rnacentral:rRNA from 1 species
CCCGCACAAGCAGCGGAGCGUGUGGUUUAAUUCGAUGUUACACGAAGACCUUACCAGGGUUUGACAUGCAAGUGGUAGGAAGCCGAAAGGUGACCGACCCUUCGGGGAGCUUGCACAGGUGCUGCAUGGCUGUCGUCAGCUCGUGUCGUGAGAUGUUCGGUUAAGUCCGCUAACGAGCGCAACCCUCGCUGUGUGUUAUAUGUGUCACACGGGACUGCCGGUCUUAAGCCGGAGGAAGGUGGGGAUGAUGUCAAGUCAGCAUGGCCUUUAUAUCCUGGGCUACACACACGCUACAAUGGCCAACACAAUAGGUUGCUAAGCCGCGAGGUGGCGCCAAUCCAUAAAGUUGGUCUCAGUUCAGAUUGUAGGCUGCAACCCGCCUGCAUGAAGAUGGAGUUGCUAGUAACCGCAGGUCAGCUAUACUGCGGUGAAUACGUUCCCGGGGCUU